UUAAGCAUAUCAAUAAGCGGAGGAAAAGAAACUAACAAGGAUUCCCCUAGUAACGGCGAGUGAAGCGGGAAGAGCUCAAAUUUGUAAUCUGGCACUUUCAGUGUCCGAGUUGUAAUCUCGAGAAGUAUUUUCCGCGCCGGACCGCAUACAAGUCUGUUGGAAUACAGCGUCAUAGUGGUGAGAACCCCGUAACUGAUGCGGAUGCCCGGUGCUUUGUGAUAUACUUUCGAAGAGUCGAGUUGUUUGGGAAUGCAGCUCAAAUUGGGUGGUAAAUUCCAUCUAAAGCUAAAUAUUGGAGCAAGACCGAUAGCGAACAAGUACCGUGAGGGAAAGAUGAAAAGCACUUUGGAAAGAGAGUUAACAGUACGUGAAAUUGUUGGAAGGGAAACGCUUGAAGUCAGACUUGCUAUUCGGAGUUCAGCCGCAAGGUGUAUUCUUCGAUUUGCAGGCCAGCAUCAGUUUUUGGGGGUGGAAAAUCGUGGUUUGAAGGUAGCAGUUUCGGCUGUGUUAUAGCUUUCCACUGGAUUCAUCUUCGGGGACUGAGGAACGCAGUACGCUUUUUGCAAGGCUCUCGAGCUUUUCGUACUUAGGAUGCUGGUGGAAUGGCUUUAAACGACCCU
rnacentral:rRNA from 1 species